rnacentral:rRNA from 2 species
UGGGCUUGGCAGCGGGCUAUACAUGCAGUCGAGCGGACUUGAUGGAGAGCUUGCUCUCCUGAUGGUUAGCGGCGGACGGGUGAGUAACACGUAGGCAACCUGCCUGCAAGACCGGGAUAACCCACGGAAACGUGAGCUAAUACCGGAUAUCUCAUUUCCUCUCCUGAGGGGAUGAUGAAAGACGGAGCAAUCUGUCACUUGCGGAUGGGCCUGCGGCGCAUUAGCUAGUUGGUGAGGUAACGGCUCACCAGGGCGACGAUGCGUAGCCGACCUGAGAGGGUGAACGGCCACACUGGGACUGAGACACGGCCCAGACUCCUACGGGAGGCAGCAGUAGGGAAUCUUCCGCAAUGGGCGAAAGCCUGACGGAGCAACGCCGCGUGAGUGAUGAAGGUUUUCGGAUCGUAAAGCUCUGUUGCCGGGGAAGAACGUCCGGUAUAGUAACUGCUAUCGGAGUGACGGUACCUGAGAAGAAACCCCCGGCUAACUACGUGCCAGCACCCGCGGUAAUACAUAGGGGGCAAGCGUUCUCCGGAAUUAUUGGGCGUAAAGCGCGCACAGGCUCUCAUUUAACUCUGGUGUUUGAGGGCCGGCGCUCAACCUCUUGGUGUCGUCCACAUGGGAACUGGGGUGAUCUCGACCGCCAGAGAGGAGAAUAUUGAACUUACACGUGGUAGCCGGAUGGAGAUGUCGUAGAUACUGUGGAGAGCACCACCCCUGUGGGCAGAGGGGCGACUCUGCUCGACGCUGGUGAAUUUGACGCUGAGGGCGGCGAAAAGCGGUGGGGGAGCAACAACAUGGAUUAGAUACCCCUGGGUAGUGCAAGCCCGUAAACGAGGAAAAGGUUAGGUGUUUAGGGGGUCCUAGGAUCAUCCCUGGGUGCCGCAAGGUGAGACACAUUAAGCAUUUCCGCCUGGCAGAGUACGGUCCGCAAGAUCUGAAACUCAGAUAAGGAAUUGACGGGGGACCCCGCACAAGCAGUGGAGUAUGUGGUUUAAUUUGAAGCAACGCGAAGAACCUUACCAGGUCUUGACAUCCCUCUGACCGGUCUAGAGAUAGACCUUUCCUUUGGGACAGAGGAGACAGGUGGUGCAUGGUUGUCGUCAGCUCGUGUCGUGAGAUGUUGGGUUAAGUCCCGCAACGAGCGCAACCCUUGAUUUUAGUUGCCAGCACUUUGGGUGGGCACUCUAGAAUGACUGCCGGUGACAAACCGGAGGAAGGCGGGGAUGACGUCAAAUCAUCAUGCCCCUUAUGACCUGGGGUACACACGUACUACAAUGGCCAGUACAACGGGAAGCGAAGCCGCGAGGUGGAGCCAAUCCUAUCAAAGCUGGUUUCAGUUCGGAUUGCAGGCUGCAACUCGCCUGCAUGAAGUUGGAAUUGCUUGUAAUCGCGGAUCAGCAUGCCGCGGUGAAUACGUUCCCGGGUCUUGUACACACCGCCCGUCACACCCCGAGAGUUUACAACACCCGAAGUCGGUGAGGUAACCGUCAAGGAGCCAGCCGCCGAAGGUGGGGUAGAUGAUUGGGGUGAAGUCGAAUUCUAUGGAAAAUUUGCCC